rnacentral:rRNA from 1 species
CCUACGGGGGGCUGCAGUGGGGAAUAUUGCACAAUGGGCGGAAGCCUGAUGCAGCAACGCCGCGUGCGGGAUGACGGCCUUCGGGUUGUAAACCGCUUUCGCCUAUGACGAAGCUUUUGUGACGGUAGUAGGAGAAGAAGCACCGGCUAACUACGUGCCAGCAGCCGCGGUGAUACGUAGGGUGCGAGCGUUGUCCGGAUUUAUUGGGCGUAAAGAGCUUGUAGGCGGUUGGUCGCGUCGAUAGUGCAAACUCAGGGCUUAACUCUGAGCCUGCUGUCGAUACGGGCUGACUUGAGGGAUGUAGGGGAGAAUGGAAUUCCCGGUGGAGCGGUGGAAUGCGCAGAUAUCGGGAGGAACACCGGUGGCGAAGGCGGUUCUCUGGACAUUUCCUGACGCUGAGAAGCGAAAGCGUGGGGAGCAAACAGGCUUAGAUACCCCUGUAGUC